UACGUAGGUCCCGAGCGUUGUCCGGAUUUAUUGGGCGUAAAGCGAGCGCAGGUGGUUUAUUAAGUCUGGUGUAAAGGGCAGUGGCUCAACCAUUGUAUGCAUUGGAAACUGGUAGACUUGAGUGCAGGAGAGGAGAGUAGAAUUCCAUGUGUAGCGGUGAAAUGCGUAGAUAUAUGGAGGAACACCGGUGGCGAAAGCGGCUCUCUGGCCUGUAACUGACACUGAGGCUCGAAAGCGUGGGGAGCAAACAGG
rnacentral:rRNA from 1 species